rnacentral:rRNA from 1 species
CCCUUAGAUGUCCUGGGCUGCACGCGCGCUACACUGAUGUGUCCAGUAAGCACCUAACCUCUUCCGAAGGGAACGGGUAACCUUAGCAAAGCACAUCGUGAUGGGGAUAGAUUAUUGCAAUUAUUAGUCUUGAACGAGGAAUUCCUAGUAAGCACAAGUCAUCAGCUUGUGUUGAUUACGUCCCUGCCCUUUGUACACACCGCCCGUCGCUCCUACCGAUUGAAUGUUCCGGUGAAUACUUCGGACUGCGAGGUCUGCAGUUUCUGCGUUCCUUGCGGAAAGUUGAAUAAACCUUAACAUUUAGAGGAAGGAGAAGUCGUAACA